rnacentral:rRNA from 1 species
AGCGGCAGCGGGAGGAAGCUUGCUUCCUCGCCGGCGAGCGGCGGACGGGUGAGUAAUGUCUGGGAAACUGCCCGAUGGAGGGGGAUAACUACUGGAAACGGUAGCUAAUACCGCAUAACGUCUACGGACCAAAGUGGGGGACCUUCGGGCCUCACACCAUCGGAUGUGCCCAGAUGGGAUUAGCUGGUAGGUGGGGUAAUGGCUCACCUAGGCGACGAUCCCUAGCUGGUCUGAGAGGAUGACCAGCCACACUGGAACUGAGACACGGUCCAGACUCCUACGGGAGGCAGCAGUGGGGAAUAUUGCACAAUGGGCGCAAGCCUGACGCAGCCAUGCCGCGUGUGUGAAGAAGGCCUUCGGGUUGUAAAGCACUUUCAGCGAGGAGGAAGGCGUUGUAGUUAAUAGCUGCAACGAUUGACGUUACUCGCAGAAGAAGCACCGGCUAACUCCGUGCCAGCAGCCGCGGUAAUACGGAGGGUGCAAGCGUUAAUCGGAAUUACUGGGCGUAAAGCGCACGCAGGCGGUCUGUUAAGUCAGAUGUGAAAUCCCCGGGCUUAACCUGGGAACUGCAUUUGAAACUGGCAGGCUAGAGUCUCGUAGAGGGGGGUAGAAUUCCAGGUGUAGCGGUGAAAUGCGUAGAGAUCUGGAGGAAUACCGGUGGCGAAGGCGGCCCCCUGG